AUCACUUCAGGGCCUUUUGGCUAAGAUUAAGUGUACUAUCUGUUCUUCUAAGUUUUCUCCCUGAUACCUUCUCUAUCUAGGGACCAUAUAAUAAAUGGAUUUUUUGACAACUGGGGCCGAUUUCGAAGCUUGCUUCCAUCGCCCCAUGCUUUGACCCUAUAUGGCUCUUUUUUUCUGGGACAGUAUACGGGGG